UUUUCCUUUCCUUUGAAGCCCCAGAGCCCUACCCCCUUCUCCUCAGCUUGGGAAUGUUCAGAAACCUCAAGUACCUGACUGCUGCUGACUCCUCAUUUUCUCUGUGGGGCUUCUGUAUAUAUGUAAGUAAACAUAAUUUAAAUUGUUUUUCUCCUGUUAACUUGUCUUAUGUCAACUCAGUGAAAGAAUCGAGAAGGGAAGAGAAAUUUUCUGCCCUUACACUUAUAUAAAGGUAGAUUUGACCUGGGAGUGGCUAUUUGCAUUUCAAAGGAUGCCUCAGUUCACAGGACGAUUUUACCACUGGGCUAUUUCAAAUAGUUUGCUCAGUUGAAAAUGUUGGACUUGAAUGCAGAAGGAGGGGGGAUCUGGGCCAGCUAGGCGCGCCUCUGGACACGUGGGUCAGCGUUUCGGGUGGAACACAUCGAUCUGGGCGAAACAUUGGCUUUUUGUGUCUCCUGCGUUUGGUGCCUUCGGAGGGCCGGCUGCAGCUGUGGGCGGCCGUGCUUGCUGCCAGCGGUCAAGGCGACCUUGCUCAGCAAAGCGACAAUUGUACUUUGAACUAGUGACUCCGGAGGCUUUGUCGCUUUCCAGGCAUUCCUCCAGGACCAUUGUACCCCUGGCGGCCUUUAAAUGCAGUUUGUUUUUGCAGUGUGAUACUGCUUUAUUCUUGGCUUUGGCGCCAAGAGUAGCCUGUAAUUCUUAGCAGUUAAUCACGACCUCUCGGAAAAAAGAACAACAAAGUACGGUCCUUUAUGCCUAAAGUUGGUGCUUUCAGAAGUUCGCUGACAGUAGGUGCUUUGACGUCUUUCUCCGGUGCACUUAGUCACCUGGUAUCCUUUAUGGCUGCAAGAAUCUGCACCAAAGCCUGGUGCCUCUGCUGGGUUGGCUAUACAUGACUUAGAAAGAGACACCACAACUGGUUCGUAAAUGUGCCUAUGUCAAAGCCCAUCAAACAGUACAUUUUUAAAUAUGUAUAGUUUUUUCGUUGUUUUGGUUUGGUUUCUGGCUCUGCAGUUCAGUUAGUUAAAAAAAAAAAUCUGACUGCAAUGCAGGAGACCUGAGUUUGAGCCCUGGGUCGGGAAGAUCCCCUGGAGACAGGAAUGGCAACCCAUUCCAGUAUUCUUGCCUGAAGAAUUCCAUGGACAGAGGAACCUAGUGGACCACAGUCCAUGGGGUCACAAAGGGUCAGACACAACUGAGCAACUUUCACUGUGGCAUGGCAUGUGGGAUAUUACCAGGGAUUGAACCCAGUUCCCCCACCCCUGGAGUAGGAAAUGGCAACCCACGCCAGUAUGCUUGCCUGGAAAAUUCCAUGGAGAUAGGAACCUGACGGACUACAGUUCAUGGGGUCACAAAGAGCCACAGAAGGCUGAG
ensembl:lncRNA